UGUCAAUUCUCAUGAAGUCUCUUUAAUAUGUAUAACUUCUUGCAAAUAAUGAUACUAAUUAGUUUUGUUACAUAUACAACGUCUAUUAAGUGGAAUAAAAGUUAAAACAUUUCCCAAGUGUGCAAGGAAAUCAAUUGUGCGUCAGGACUGUAACACAAAAAUGUAUAUAAUUUAUAAAAUAUACGCCCAUUUUAAAUGCUAUCAGGAUCAGAGAUAACUGCAA